rnacentral:sRNA from 1 species
GCCGGGUGCAGUGGUGCACACCUGCAAUCCCAACAGCUCUGGAGGCUGAGGCAGGAGGAUUGUGAGUUCCAAGCCAGCCUCAGCAACAUAUUGAGGCUCUAAGCAACUUAGUGAGACCCUGUCUCUA